AUCUUGAACCAGUCCGUUGUUCCAUGGUCUAUUCUUACUGGCCUAACAUAUGGUUAAACUUUUUAUUUGCAUAAGUUCAUUUUUGCAGACUAAAAAGCAUCGUCUCAGGAGCCAAAAGUUCCAACCACUUUAAGUCCAAAAUAGGAACUGCUGCUGAGACCAUGUAAAAUAGCAGAUGUAGUUUCAAGAUAAAGUAGAUCCUCAUAAGAAGUAGGAAGAGGAAAAAUACACAAAAAUAAGAGAUCUUCUUCUGCUCUUGAAAUUGAGAAAGUGGGAAAUUGGCAUGGAAAGAAGAGAGAUGAGAGCUUCUUUCUCCAUUCUGAAAUGCCACUUGUCGUGAGAUGUGUUUCCCUGCUGGGAGAUCCAGAGUAGCACAGCCAUUCCCUGAGAAUUCACCCGAUGCCUGGAGAUACUAUCAAUGGAAGAUUGGAUACUGAAGUUCUUUGAAAUGGCAGAAAUGGACAAAUUGCCUGCUUUGAUCAGAGAGAAGUCUUUGGAUAAUUUUUUUAAAAGGCUGAGAACCUUUUUUGACAUUUAUGAAGAUGAGAGAAGGAGAAAAGAACACUUGUGGGUUUAAAAUAUUAAUUUUUUUCUUACAUAGUUAUUAGGUGGAAGUUUAACUUUUUAAAAAUAGAAUAGAAGAAGCAAGUGAUAUUACUUUAUGUCAUUGGCUUGGAAUGUGGGAAGUAUACUUUUAAUAUCUUUUCUUUUGGGCGGGGAUUAUUUGAUAGUUCAUAGUAGAUAGUUUAUAGGGGAUUUUAUGUAUUUUGUGUAAGUGUUCCUUCUUAUUUUAUUAUAUCUAUAGGUUUUUCCUUUCUCUUUUAUAUGUAGAUUCUAAUAUGUAGUGUUUAUUCCUCUUCUAUAUGUGUUACAUUAUUUAAUAAAGAUGCUAACAAAAAAAGAUAGAAUUCAGUCAAUGCCUUGAGACCUGGCAACGCUAAGCACAAGUGAAAGUUUAUGCAGACAGUAGAGAGUUACUUCAAAAUGAGGGAGUAUUCUCUUCAAGGAAAAUGAGAAUAAAACCAGAAUAAAAUGGGA